UACGUAGGGGGCAAGCGUUGUCCGGAUUUAUUGGGCGUAAAGAGCGUGUAGGCGGCCAGGUAGGUCUGCUGUGAAAACUCGAGGCUUAACCUCGAGCUGUCGGCGGGAACCAUCUGGCUAGAGUCCGGAAGAGGAGAAUGGAAUUCCCGGUGUAGCGGUGAAAUGCGUAGAUAUCCGGAGGAACACCAGUGGCGAAAGCGGCCACCUGGACUGUACCUGACGCUCAAACGCGAAAGCUAGGGGAGCGAACGGG
rnacentral:rRNA from 1 species